CCUGGUCUUUGGAACUCUUCCAUUCCCAUUUCAGCCCCAACAUUCAAAUGAUUUCCUUCCACCUCUUUUUCAAUGUACCCACCAUUUUCUUUCUCUUUUCCAGUGGAUGCCUCAUUUCCUUCCUCUACUUGUUCUUCAAAAUCAUCCUCCUCUUCCUCCUCCUCUUCUUCUUCAUCUUCUUCUUCCAUGUCUUCCCUUUCAUCCUGAUUCACGUCAUUUUCAAUCUCAUCUUUGUCAUUCUUGGCUUCAGUGAUUGCUUCAUUUUCUUCUGCGGAGGCUGCCUCUAUAGAGUCAAAAUUUGAAGCAGAAUCUUUGACAAAACACAAUCGAAGGC
rnacentral:misc_RNA from 1 species